AUUGAACGCUGGCGGCAGGCCUAACACAUGCAAGUCGAGCGGAUGAAGGGAGCUUGCUCCUGGAUUCAGCGGCGGACGGGUGAGUAAUGCCUAGGAAUCUGCCUGGUAGUGGGGGAUAACGUCCGGAAACGGGCGCUAAUACUGCAUACGUCCUGAGGGAGAAAGUGGGGGAUCUUCGGACCUCACGCUAUCAGAUGAGCCUAGGUCGGAUUAGCUAGUUGGUGGGGUAAAGGCCUACCAAGGCGACGAUCCGUAACUGGUCUGAGAGGAUGAUCAGUCACACUGGAACUGAGACACGGUCCAGACUCCUACGGGAGGCAGCAGUGGGGAAUAUUGGACAAUGGGCGAAAGCCUGAUCCAGCCAUGCCGCGUGUGUGAAGAAGGUCUUCGGAUUGUAAAGCACUUUAAGUUGGGAGGAAGGGCAGUAAGUUAAUACCUUGCUGUUUUGACGUUACCAACAGAAUAAGCGCCGGCUAACUUCGUG
rnacentral:rRNA from 1 species